GAGUUUGAUCCUGGCUCAGGAUGAACGCUAGCGGCACGCUUCAUACAUGCAAGUCGAGGGGCAGCAUAAAGUACUUGUACUUUGAUGGCGACCGGCGAACGGGUGCGUAACGCGUAUGCAACUUACCUUUUACUAGAGAAUAGCCAAGAGAAAUUUUGAUUAAUGCUCUAUACUCUUUUUAACUCACAUGAGUUUUUAAGAAAAGCUCCGGCGGUAAAAGAUGGGCAUGCGUCCUAUUAGCUUGUAGGUGAGGUAACGGCUCACCUAAGCUCCGAUAGGUAGGGGUCCUGAGAGGGAGAUCCCCCACACUGGUACUGAGACACGGACCAGACUUCUACGGAAGGCAGCAGUAAGGAAUAUUGGACAAUGGAGGAAACUCUGAUCCAGCGAUGCCGCGUGAAGGAAGACGGCCCUAUGGGUUGUAAACUUCUUUUAUACAGGAAGAAACCUUUCCACGUGUGGAAAGCUGACGGUACUGUAAGAAUAAGGAUCGGCUAACUCCGUGCCAGCAGCCGCGGUAAUACGGAGGAUCCAAGCGUUAUCCGGAAUUAUUGGGUUUAAAGGGUCCGCAGGCUGUUUGUUAAGUCAGGGGUGAAAUCCUACCGCUCAACGGUAGAACUGCCUUUGAUACUGGCAAACUUGAGUUAUUGUGAAGUAGUUAGAAUGUGUAGUGUAGCGGUGAAAUGCAUAGAUAUUACACAGAAUACCAAUUGCGAAGGCAGAUUACUAACAAUUAACUGACGCUGAGGGACGAAAGCGUGGGUAGCGAACAGGAUUAGAUACCCUGGUAGUCCACGCCGUAAACGAUGGUCACUAGCUGUUCGAUGUACAUUGGUACAUUGAGUGGCUAAGCGAAAGUGAUAAGUGACCCACCUGGGGAGUACGCUCGCAGAGUGAAACUCAAGGANUGACGGGGCCCGCACAGCGGUGAGCAUGUGGUUUAAUUCGAUGAUACGCGAGGAACCUUACCAGGACUUAAAUGUAAGUUGCAUGAUUCAGGAA
rnacentral:rRNA from 1 species